UGCAUCAGCCGGGAAUCGAACCCAGGCCGCCCGCGUGGCAGGCGAGCAUUCUACCACUGAACCACCGAUGG